CGACGUCUUCAGGGCGGGGUGCAACUCCCCACCGGCGGUAGGCCGCGGCGCAACACGCCCGGCAAGCCCGCGAGCGCCUCCGGAUCCCCGGAGGGUCAGCAGAUCCGGUCCAAGUCCGGAGCCGACGGUCACAGUCCGGAUGAAAGAAGACGGCC
rnacentral:ncRNA from 2 species